rnacentral:rRNA from 1 species
UAGGGAAUCUUCGGCAAUGGACGAAAGUCUGACCGAGCAACGCCGCGUGAGUGAAGAAGGUUUUCGGAUCGUAAAACUCUGUUGUUAGAGAAGAACAAGGACGUUAGUAACUGAACGUCCCCUGACGGUAUCUAACCAGAAAGCCACGGCUAACUACGUGCCAGCAGCCGCGGUAAUACGUAGGUGGCAAGCGUUGUCCGGAUUUAUUGGGCGUAAAGCGAGCGCAGGCGGUUUCUUAAGUCUGAUGUGAAAGCCCCCGGCUCAACCGGGGAGGGUCAUUGGAAACUGGGAGACUUGAGUGCAGAAGAGGAGAGUGGAAUUCCAGGUGUAGCGGUGGAAUGCGCAGAUAUCUGGAGGAACACCGAUGGCGAAGGCAGGUCACUGGGCCAUUACUGACGCUGAGGAGCGAAAGCAUGGGUAGCGAACAGG